rnacentral:rRNA from 1 species
CCUACGGGCGGCAGCAGUGGGGAAUAUUGGACGAUGGGGGGAACCCUGAUCCAGCCAUGCCGCGUGUGUGAAGAAGGCCCUCGGGUUGUAAAGCACUUUCAGUGAGGAAGAACGCCUGGUGGUUAAUACCCAUCAGGAAAGACAUCACUCACAGAAGAAGCACCGGCUAACUCCGUGCCAGCAGCCGCGGUAAUACGGAGGGUGCGAGCGUUAAUCGGAAUUACUGGGCGUAAAGCGCGCGUAGGUGGCUUGAUAAGCCGGUUGUGAAAGCCCCGGGCUCAACCUGGGAACGGCAUCCGGAACUGUCAAGCUAGAGUGCAGGAGAGGAAGGUAGAAUUCCCGGUGUAGCGGUGAAAUGCGUAGAGAUCGGGAGGAAUACCAGUGGCGAAGGCGGCCUUCUGGAAUGACACUGACACUGAGGUGCGAAAGCGUGGGUAGCAAACAGGAUUAGAUACCCCGGUAGUC